ensembl:lncRNA
GUGUAUCAUAGCCGUGGUCUGAACUUUGUGUGGCACAUAGAUGGCUAUGACAAGCUGAAGCCAUUUGGAAUCGGAAUAAGUGGCUGUAUAGAUGGAUUUUCCAGGAGCAUGAUAUGGCUUGAGGCAUACAAGACCAACAAUGACUUAUUGCUGGAUGCUUCAUGGAUGCGGUAAUUAAAGCUGGGGGGUGUCCUGCUAGAGUAAGGCUAGAUUUAGGAACAGAAAAUCUUAAUUUGGCUGAGAUGCAAAUUUUUUUGACUUUUUCUGAGGAUCGACCAGAAACAGACCAUGUAACUUUUGGCCAAAGCUCUUGAAACCAGCGAAUCGAAAGAUGGUGCUCACUCUGUGAAGUGAAUGUGUCCAAUUCUGGAUACACCUCUUUGACAAACUGAGAGAGGAUGGGCACUUCGCAGACACUCUUCUGGACAAAUCCUUGGUCCAGUUCUGUUUCCUUAACAAAAUCCAGUACAUUUCCUUACAGGAGGAGCUUGAUGAGAUUGACUAAGCUUGGAACAAUCACAGAAUACAGCCCGUCCACAACUCACGGUCACCACAUGGCCGACCAUCCAUCAUGUAUGCAGUAUCUCAUCUAUAUGGAGCCACAGACCACCUGCAUCCAGUGCAUCUGGAGAAGGUUCAAGUCUGUUUAGAAGAGUGUGUUUUCAAGGACUUUCCAUGCGAUGAAGACAUUUUUAACACAUGUUGAUCUUAUGUCAGAGCAUGAUUUAAACCAAACGAUGUGUUUGCAGCAGUGGACUUGUACAUAACACUUAGGGAGCUAAUUAGCAGUGAGUUGGAGCCUCAUAACUAAAAAAUGUGUUGCUGAAGACUUAACAUUUGAGAUUUCAAUUC